GGAGGAGAGUCUUUAAUCUUGUUUCGCUAUUGGUGUAUACUGUUCGGGAAAAUUCUCCUGCAAUUCUUGGCCAAUUAAUCCCCCACAAAAACAUGAGAAUGCCUUCUGCUGGCGCCUUUGUACACAGUCAAAGGAAUGAUAUUCACGCUUAAAGAUAGUUGAGAUCAGACACAAAGGGUUAAUCCCAAUGAGCAGACAGCGCGAUUUCUGAUUGAACAAAGAACACUUUAUUGAGUGCUGCCUGGGUGCGGGGAGAAGAGCGGGAUGACCCAGAUGGGAGGCAAGAUCCUCCUGGAGGUCCUGAGGCUCCGGGCCCCCUUCGGUGGGCGGGGCCGUCGGGAACCUAAGAGCACUCUGCGGGGGCCACCUUCUUCUCCACGGUGCUCCCCUCGUGCGUGACCAGGCAGCUGAAGCUGCUGUGAGAUUUCCACUUGUCAGGCGUCAGGCUCAGGUAGCUGCUGGCCGCGUACUUGUUGUUGCUCUGCUUGGAGGGCUUGGUCUCCACGGUGCUCCCCUCGUGCGUGACCAGGCAGCUGAAGCUGCUGUGAGAUUUCCACUUGUCAGGCGUCAGGCUCAGGUAGCUGCUGGCCGCGUACUUGUUGUUGCUCUGCUUGGAGGGCUUGGUGGUCUCCACACCCUGGGUGAUGGGGCUGCCGUCUGCCUUCCAGGCCACUGUCACGCCGCUGGGGUAGAAGUCGCUGAUGAGGCACACCAGGGUGGCCUUGUUGGCGCCAAGCUCCUCAGAGGAGGGCGGGAAGAGUGUGACCGAAGGGGAGGCCUUGGGCUGACCUGUGGGGAUGGAAGGCCAGUGGGUCAAAUGCAGAUGGUUGUUGUGUCAGCACCUACCUGAGUCCUGGUGUGGGGCUUCAGCUGUGUCAUGUCCGCGGCUCAGGCCUCCUGUGGACCUCGUUCCCCGCGUUCAGGGCAGCCAUUGGUAGUUAGCUCCCCCACCUUCUGAGGUGAGAAUGUGAGUGCCAGAUUCUCUAGUUUCUGGUCCCUUCCAUGUCCUUAGGCUGUCUGCACGUCACGUAUACUUCGUGUCCACCCAGUGUGCUCCCGGUACUGGUGGGGUACAGGAGCCCUGAGAUCCUGUUUCCCUUCUGAACCUGAGUGUCCUUGACCAUUGGUCUCCAUGUGACUACACCCGUGUCACUUACCCGUGAUUUCCUAGAGCUUGCCUCUCUCCGUGACAGGGCUCUGUUCUUACCAUGUGAACAGUAGGUUUCCUGUCCCCAGACUGUCUCACACCUUCACAGCAGCCUUCCCUGCCUCCCUAUCUAUCCCCGCACUAGAGCCCCUGAGGUUGUAAGUGCAAUGAGUUCCUGGUCCUGGAUUCCAGGAAGUGCAGAGACCAAAGGGAUUUGCAUGAAUGAAUUUUCAUUAUGCAGCUGGGAUUGUGUUUGAUCUGAGGUUGUCCUCUGAUCCAUGAAGUUAUCCUGGUGCAUCUGUUUGUCCUUGGAUUUCUGAGUGCUGUGUGGGCAAUGUCUCUGUUCUGUGUUCCAAUUGCCCCCCUGAUCCAAAUUUCUGCUCAUUGGCUUUUAAGCCUCGGAGAGCUGUGUAGGGAUGGACCCCUGCUACCUGAGUGUCUCGAGGAUGCCUUGUGUGCGUGACGGUCUAUUCUUGGUGUGUGUUCUCUCCCCCUAGGCGGUGGAUGGUCCUACCGCACUGGGCUCCCUUAUCUGAAGUCCUCACCUUAUUCUUGACCCUGAGCUGUACUUCGCCUUCCUUGUCUCUAAGUCCCCAUGCCUAGUGUCUCCUCCCUGAGCUUCACCCAGCCUCUGGCUAGGAUCCCCACCACACGCAGAGAGAGAGCAAGCGCCUUGGCAGGCCCCAGAAUCCUUCCAUAAUCCCAUGGCCCUGCUUACAGCUCGAGUAUCCCUCUUCCUAUACUUCACCAUCAUUUCCCUCAGAUUCUUGAAGUCAAAGGCCCAGAGUGGGGAGUCACAGAUGCCCAAGUCCAGGGGAGAAGUUUCCCUCAUGGGGAGAGAGCUCGACCCCCAGGGAAGCCUGAGUGUAGAUCAGGGGCUGCUUCCCCGAGGCACCGAAUGGACCUCUGACAUGGUGGGAGCAGUGGACGAAUGAGGGGCAGAGCAAGGCGACCAAAAGAACAGACCCACAGAUCUUCAGCCUCAGCCCGCAUCAGGAUUGAAAGGAGACAAACAUUGCCAGAAAUUGUAGUGUGGAGGCGAAAGAGGAGAGAAAGGGGGAGACUCACCGAGGACGGUCAGAUGGGUGCCUCCGCCGAACACAAUACACUGUGACACAGCCUCGAGCACAAACCCUCUGUCAGCCCCUCCACCCCUGACCCAGGCCCACCUGCAGCUGCUCGGGAGGCCCAAAG
rnacentral:lncRNA from 1 species